rnacentral:antisense_RNA from 1 species
CUUGACCGAGCCGAUCCACAGCGGCCGGUCGGCCGAGGUCUCCUUGCCGUAGGUGGCCAGCAGCGCCUGGACCUC